UAACACAUGCAAGUCGAACGGUAACAGGAAGCAGCUUGCUGCUUCGCUGACGAGUGGCGGACGGGUGAGUAAUGUCUGGGAAACUGCCUGAUGGAGGGGGAUAACUACUGGAAACGGUGGCUAAUACCGCAUAACGUCGCAAGACCAAAGAGGGGGACCUUCGGGCCUCUUGCCAUCAGAUGUGCCCAGAUGGGAUUAGCUUGUUGGUGAGGUAACGGCUCACCAAGGCGACGAUCCCUAGCUGGUCUGAGAGGAUGACCAGCCACACUGGAACUGAGACACGGUCCAGACUCCUACGGGAGGCAGCAGUGGGGAAUAUUGCACAAUGGGCGCAAGCCUGAUGCAGCCAUGCCGCGUGUAUGAAGAAGGCCUUCGGGUUGUAAAGUACUUUCAGCGGGGAGGAAGGUGUUGUGGUUAAUAACCGCAGCAAUUGACGUUACCCGCAGAAGAAGCACCGGCUAACUCCGUGCCAGCAGCCGCGGUAAUACGGAGGGUGCAAGCGUUAAUCGGAAUUACUGGGCGUAAAGCGCACGCAGGCGGUCUGUCAAGUCGGAUGUGAAAUCCCCGGGCUCAACCUGGGAACUGCAUUCGAAACUGGAGGGCUUGAGUCUUGUAGAGGGGGGAGAAUUCCAGGUGUAGCGGUGAAAUGCGAGAGAUCUGGAGGAAUACCGGUGGCGAAGGCGGCCCCUGGACAAAGACUGACGCUCAGGUGCGAAAGCGUGGGGAGAAACAUGAUAGAUACCCUGGAGCCACGCCGAAACGAUGCUACUUGGAGGUGUGCCUUGAGCGGGUUCCGGAGCUACGCGUAAGAGACGCCUGGGAGACGGCGCAGUAAACUCAAUGAUUGCGGGC
rnacentral:rRNA from 1 species